CAAAGAUAAAACCUGGAGGAAGUGAAAAAAGAGGUGUUAAUUUUGAGCUACAAGACAAUAUAAUAUGAGUAAAUGAAUUGUCUAUUCUAGUCUGUCCCAGGAAAGGAUUGAAAACGUCACCAUGUAGCCACGUUUCAACUUUGCUGAACUCUGUCAUAUGACGAGGAAGCCUCCAGUUCUGCGUGUGAGUUCCUGUAAACGUGUUUGUGAGGGCUGUCAAAGCAGAUGAACUGAAACACAUUGUCACUUUAGAGACUUAUAUUUUGUAUGUGUUUACAGUAGAGGCCUUCUGCAUGUAUUCUACAUUACAUCUAGACUAAAUUCUAGCUGCACUUCAGAUUUAAGCAGAUAUUUCUCAGAAAAUGUCAUAUGUGUGCCAUGUGUGUCCUCAUGAAUCAUAAAAUAACAGGAUGCUUAAAUUAGUGACAGUAUUUAAUAGAUUUAAUGCAUUCAGUAGUUAGAAUGCAAUGCAAGAUACAUUUUUAAAUAAAAGAUCAAUUUUAUUUUUUUGUUGUUGUUUCAUUAGCCCUAUUUCUUACAAUUGCAAUAUAUAUAUAUUACAGAAAAAUAAGCCUGUUUACCAUCUUCUUUCUAUCCCUUUCUAUUUUUUAUUUUUUAUUUUAUUUUAUUUUUACUGAACAUUUUACAGCCCUGUCCAGGGUUCAGGGUUAGGGUUAGGGUUAGGGUUAUUAUAGCCAUAAAUGAUCCAUAAUGCAGUAAUGAUGACAGAAAAAAUCAAUUUCACUUUUAUGUUCACACUGCUUUUUGUUCAGAGAGAGGAGGCACUGACAGAUGAGAAGAGGAAUCCGAGAUUUUUUUUGGAGAUGUGCAAACAGGAAAUAGAUUGGAAGUGUGACCCAAAGUAAAGACUUCAUCAGUGGCUUUCAUGAGCUCGUAAGCCCUUCAAAUGAUGUGUGACAGAGCGCAAGAUUAUGAUCCAAUGUGUGUCUGGGGAUUGAAUCGCCUGGCACACUCAUUUGUGUCCCUUAUUCGUCAACAAGAAGCCAAAUGCCACUCUUUUUCACCUCUCAAAUCUAGUGCUUUAAACAUUUAAUAUACUGGAUCAAGCAUCAAAUAGUCAAUAUUUAUCUCAAUAUAUACUUUAUAUGUUCAGAACAACAUAAAAUAGUCUAGAUGUCUAGAUAGUAUAGAUGGAUGAUAUAUACAUUUCUUUGAUAUUUUUAUAAUGUUGGUGUGAACCUGCAGAUUCUGUGAGGAAUGUGAUUGACAGUGCUUUAGAGACCUUCUGCAAAAUCUCAUGACUCUAAUUCCUGGCGUUCUUGCUGACGGUAUAGUUCAUGUAACGAGACAAGCAUGAACAGUCAAUGGCUGCUCGGAUAUGCUGUAGUCACAAGACACUGAGCAAAGAAACACUGUUCCCAGCAAAGUCGAGGUUCAAGAAAAGCACAUUGCUGCUGUUUCACUUUGUUAGUUUUUGCAAUGGUGAACAGUAACUAGCGUUUUGUUGUUGUACUCAAGUAUUUUAUUGUUUAACAAAAAUGUAAUAUCUGUAUAUUCAUUCACACAUAUAUUUGUGAAUAAAUCAAUCCUUUGAGCUGAUUAUUUUCUAUGUAAUUAAUAAAUUGCACUGAAUGAUUCAUUUGUGAAAUUGACUGAUCUGAUUAACAACUCACUGAUCAGUGAUUCGGUCAGAGUGAGUCUCUUUAACAAACAACUGAAUUGGUCUUGUCCCAUUCAAAAUGAUGAAGAAUGAUCCAGGAGAACCUUUUUUUCUCAAAGCAAUUAAAUCAAAUAAAUAAAUAAAUAAAAGAUCCUUAAGAUUUAAGUAUGCUCCUCAUAAUUUAUAACAAUUUCAUACUGAGCUCUAAUCUACUUUA
rnacentral:lncRNA from 1 species